UCUCUACCGGCCGCGCCAGGAACCUCCGCCACAGGAAUUUGUAGUGCCGGUGGGGAAGAGCUAGCUAGCCUAGCUGAACAGGUGGAAAAUGGAGCUGGAGCGCCCUCAGACGGAGUUCCCUGAUUUCACCCCCAUAAGCUAAUAUUAACAGAAGGUCUGUCUCAAAAGCUCCCUGAUCCCUUGUGGUCCCUGCAGGCUUGUUAAGUCAUUUUUCUACAAUUGUCAACCCCCAACUAAUUGAUCAUGCAUGAGGAUUUGCAACCACAUUGCAUUUUUGCCAUGGACCGACACACAUCACAUUAACAUUACCCCAGUGAUGUGAACACAAACAGACACUUUAGGGAUACAGAUCUGGCACCCUCUGUAUCUACAGGAAGUCAAGGAAGAUGAAUCCAAAAUGCGAGAACUGAAAGAAAAACAUUCCAACAGAUGUUUUUGUCUUAAAAAACAAAUAAACUCGGGCUAAUGUGACUCUGGUCUCAUGGUCCAGUCGUUUCUAUUGUACUUUACAGCAUUGAACAGCCAGAGAAAAACAUCUUUCACUCUCUAUAAAGUCCAGACAGAAUUUCACUGAUAAAAUGAGGAAAAGCAGGCGAUUCCUCCUAAAAAUGAACCUGUCAGUGUGUGAAACCCUUAUAUCUCCGUCUAGUGGUGGAGAACGGAAAUUACAGAUGAGUCACAGUUGGCCUGAAUGACCUCUUGUUUAUGUUUCUCCACUUGUAUGUUUUCAUCUUCACGUCAUGAUGUGUAUUAAUAGUAAAUACAUAAGCGUGAACUUAAAUAAAAGUAGUAAAAUAUGUGUUCAAGUGUAUUUUUCACUGUUUUCUUCCCGCAGUGCGAGUCUUCUGCAUGUGUGUUUGUUAGCAUGUGUAUUGUUGUGUGUCUGUGCUGCAUGCAGAGUCCAGCUGCACUGUGAAUGUGCCAAAAGUACACAAAGUCCUCGACACAACAGCAUGACCAAACACUUCAGCUGCAGAGCUCCACCUUGGCUUCUAACUUUAACGUCAGCCACAAACAUUUCACACAGAAACCUCUCUGUUGCUUACGUGCCUACUCAUGAAACAUCUAAAAAAUGAAAGCUAACAUCAAACAGUCUGAUCUCAUUAUCCACGCCUGCAUUUUUGUGUAAAUUACUUCCUAAUAAUGCAGCUGAGCGCCCUUAAUAACCAGCUGAGAGAUUAAAUCAAAUCUAUUGUGAGUGACUUGGAUUUAAGUUAAGACUCUUUACAGGGUCUGACCUUUGCUCUACUGUUUUGACUUUCACAAAUAAGCAAAUUCAAUCAUAGAUAAAAAUGCAUUUAAAAGAUUAUAACAACAAAGCUUGAGUAUAAACUCUUAACUGGUUCAAGUGUAAUCGGUGAUGUCUGUCAUCAGAUGUUUCCAAUCAUGCAAUGAGAAAAUAUGAAUGGCAUGAGAAGCAGUUUAAUGCAUCUAAUUUGGGUAAGUGCUUUAGCUUUGAUCCAAAUACUUGUAGAUUCAUGCUAGUAACCACUUUAGCUUACCUCUUAUUAAUUUAUAAAGACUGUUAGUCCAAAAUGUGAUUAUUUAAAAUUGUCCUGGUUUUCUUAUGUUUCAGUUUCAUUGUAACAUAAAAUUUAAAAAAGAACAGAUUUAAAUGUGUCCAUAAUAUUUUUCUGUAAAUGAAUAGAUUUAGUGUCUUAAUUGAAAACACAUUUAACACUCUGCUGUAAAAAUCUUUGUUGGUUCUGAACCUUUAGCCCCAUAAGACGAGAAAUUAAUCCCAGGAUAUGACACUGCUAAAAACGUCUGUCAAGUUUAUUUUUAGUUUUAUAUUCAGUUGAUUUCCAGACCAGCAGGUAUCUUACAGUACAUGUCAUCACAGAUCUAUCACAAUCACACUCUAAAACACAUUUUGUCUUUAGAAACCAUACAUUACGAGCUCUUGGUGCAUCUUAAAGUAUACCCUUCUUUGCUGCCCAUUUUACUCUAAAUUAACCCAUCACUGACAAAAUGAACAUCAUGUUGUAAUAAACAUGACUUUAAACUGGUGACUGAGACCAUAAAUUUAACAGAAAAAUGUUUACUGUGGUCACAGAAUAAGAUAGAAAUAGAACUAGUUUCCGCUAUAUUUCUGUACAGUUUGACCUCUCUUUGCAGCCAGGUG